GAUCCAUCUUCAGCGCUCCUCCUCCCACUAUAAAUCCCAGACGCUCAGCUAUGGAAGUCCUCAGCUAUAAUCAGCAAGUCGUCGAGAUACGCAUAGACGCAUUUCAACCGGAAUCACCUUAUCGACCAGUCUACAUAGGCGUUGUGCGGCGUUGCAGAGGCCAAAGGGCAUCAUACGGAACUGGUACAGGCGCCGUCCCGGCACAGUGAACGCCGUAUAUGGUCGACUCUGCUCGUCCAGCUCGAUUUGCCAAAAAGCGAAUUUUAAGUCGACGCUGGAGAUAUAUAUAGUCUGAUCGAGACGCGACAAAAUCCCCUCGAUGCUAGGAAGUGGGUAAGCGUCCUGGAUGGUUACUUUGUUGAGCUUUCGGGCAUCGAGACAGAAACGAUUUUUGCCCGGCCUUCGCACCACGGUGGUACGGUUGCUCCACGGACUAUCACUGUACUCGAUGACUCCCAAAGCCAACAUUUUGUCCACCUCACCACACACCACUUCCUGCAUCGCUGGCGACAGCGGGUAAUGUCGAUCCUUCACAGGCUCGGCCUUCUCCACCACCUGAAUUUUGCCCCUUCUGUGAGCGUGAUUCGCCUGCUUGGAUCGCACCC